rnacentral:misc_RNA from 1 species
AAUAGAUUACAUGUGAGGGAGGACAUGGAGAACAGUGUUUCCAGUUGAAGCCUCACUAUGCUGCCUCUUUAAUUCCAGUCUUUGUAUUAUUUGCUUACUGUUGUUUCAUUUCUUGAAUGGUUUUUUGUACAGGGAUGGAAUGGGAGGAAUUAGGAGAAAUAGAUGACCAUAUUUUAGCUAUUAGAGAAGGAUUGUAAGAGACAACUGGGAGAAAAAAAGGGCUAGAGACAAAUGGAAGGUUCGAGGACAGUAGAGUUUUAGGGUUUUAGUCAUGGGUAGGUCCUUAAGGAGUUAAGGUUAUUAGGUAUAAGGGUCUGUGUCUGUCUCUUUUUUCGCAUUCUUUUCUUCUUUUUUCUUUGAUGGGUAUUCUUUUUGCAGUUCAAUUUGUUAGUAGAAAUUUCUGAGAUGAGUAAUGGAUUGUGAAAACUUGUAAUGCCUCAUCUGCAAUUUUCUUUCCAAUUAUAAGAUUCCCCAUUUGCAGCCG